rnacentral:rRNA from 1 species
GGGACACGUGGUAUCCUGUCUGAAUAUGGGGGGACCAUCCUCCAAGGCUAAAUACUCCUGACUGACCGAUAGUGAACCAGUACCGUGAGGGAAAGGCGAAAAGAACCCCGGCGAGGGGAGUGAAAAAGAACCUGAAACCGUGUACGUACAAGCAGUGGGAGCCUCUUAAUGGGGUGACUGCGUACCUUUUGUAUAAUGGGUCAGCGACUUAUAUUCUGUAGCAAGGUUAACCGAAUAGGGGAGCCGAAGGGAAACCGAGUCUUAACUGGGCGUUAAGUUGCAGGGUAUAGACCCGAAACCCGGUGAUCUAGCCAUGGGCAGGUUGAAGGUUGGGUAACACUAACUGGAGGACCGAACCGACUAAUGUUGAAAAAUUAGCGGAUGACUUGUGGCUGGGGGUGAAAGGCCAAUCAAACCGGGAGAUAGCUGGUUCUCCCCGAAAGCUAUUUAGGUAGCGCCUCGUGAAUUCAUCUCCGGGGGUAGAGCACUGUUUCGGCAAGGGGGUCAUCCCGACUUACCAACCCGAUGCAAACUGCGAAUACCGGAGAAUGUUAUCACGGGAGACACACGGCGGGUGCUAACGUCCGUCGUGAAGAGGGAAACAACCCAGACCGCCAGCUAAGGUCCCAAAGUCAUGGUUAAGUGGGAAACGAUGUGGGAAGGCCCAGACAGCCAGGAUGUUGGCUUAGAAGCAGCCAUCAUUUAAAGAAAGCGUAAUAGCUCACUGGUCGAGUCGGCCUGCGCGGAAGAUGUAACGGGGCUAAACCAUGCACCGAAGCUGCGGCAGCGACACUAUGUGUUGUUGGGUAGGGGAGCGUUCUGUAAGCCUGUGAAGGUGGCCUGUGAGGGUUGCUGGAGGUAUCAGAAGUGCGAAUGCUGACAUAAGUAACGAUAAAGCGGGUGAAAAGCCCGCUCGCCGGAAGACCAAGGGUUCCUGUCCAACGUUAAUCGGGGCAGGGUGAGUCGACCCCUAAGGCGAGGCCGAAAGGCGUAGUCGAUGGGAAACAGGUUAAUAUUCCUGUACUUGGUGUUACUGCGAAGGGGGGACGGAGAAGGCUAUGUUGGCCGGGCGACGGUUGUCCCGGUUUAAGCGUGUAGGCUGGUUUUCCAGGCAAAUCCGGAAAACCAAGGCUGAGGCGUGAUGACGAAGCACUACGGUGCUGAAGCGACAAAUGCCCUGCUUCCAGGAAAAGCCUCUAAGCAUCAGGUAACAUCAAAUCGUACCCCAAACCGACACAGGUGGUCAGGUAGAGAAUACCAAGGCGCUU